CUGACUUCCCCAUUGGUUCCAUGUAGGCAUGGCCUAUGUUUGCCUUGCAGAAUUCUGUGUUCCCAGUGUUUAGCAUGGUGCCUUGCACACAGUGGGUGCUCAAAGAAUAUUCGUUGAAUAAAUGAGUCACAGGGAAGUGAGGGAGCCUGGAGCCUCUCCCAGCUGCCGAGAGGGCCUGAGGGGGCGGCUGGGAGCAUGUGAUGUUGUGGUGCUGCUCUGAGGCUUGCUUCCAGGGAUCUUCGUGAUGAAGGGACUGGUUUAGAACAUCUUAUGGUCAGAACGUUUCAAAGAUUAUCAUCUACUGCAACUUCUCGCCAAGGGCAAGAAUCUCUCUUGAAACAUCUGACAAUUGACGCUGUAGGAGUUCACCAUCGCACGUGUUCAGAUAAUUGGGUUGAAAGGGAACAACUGAAUUUCUGGAGCCACAGAACAAGGCCUUCGUUCCUCCACUCUGUCGACAUGAGUUGUUCUUCUGGGGCCUUCAUCCUCUGUCAUUCGUCCAGUGAGGCAGGUGCAUGGGAGCCCCAUCAUUGGCCUGAAGCUGUAAAAUACAAGAUUCACCCACAGGUGUAAGCCGAAUAGAGAAGAUGACUUUCUGAAACUGAAGGAAGUUGGAAGGAGAGGUGAGGGCUAACACGAGCAUCUCUGCAGUGAAAGGCAGGGCGAGAGGAACCUUCCCUAUUCUCACUGAUAGACACUGAAGAGAGGCCACCAUGUGAUAAAGGAACAACCUUUGCCAUCAUCUCCUUGUUGAAAUUGAAGAAACGAAAUGAGCGCUGACGGAGGUGGGUGAUGUCACGUUGUCAUCUGCCAUCCCUGAAAUACCACUUCCUCUUCGUGGGGGCAUGAGGACCCAACGCAGAAACGCAGCUCGGUCAUCCCAUGAGGGGAUGUCAGCUCUUCAGAUGCUCCCUUUUGAUGGAAGGGUGUCGUUGGCAAACACCCGGCUACCUGCUCUUCGGGGGGAAAUGAACCUAAGAUGCGGAAAUAAAUACGUAAGACCAGCAUAAGCACUAUUAAAUUCCAGACAAGUUAUCUAAAGGACCCGACACAUUACACGCUUCUUCCAUCACCACCACACCCCCAUACACUUCAAUUCAACUCUACAAAAAUAAAUUCUGUGUGUCACACUUAUGCUGGGCAUCGUUCUAGAUGCUGUGGGAAGUCACGGUGGGGCAAACGCCAAGAUCUGUCUGAUAUAAUAAUGCCCUCAAGAAACUUUAUGAUUUAGUAGGAAGAUAGAAGUAUUCUAAAGUCAUUGAUAAUCUAUAAAAUAAUGCAAAAUUAACUAGUAAAGACUAAGCAGAAAGCUGUGGGACACUGAGGGCAGAAUCUCCCAGGUGAAGGGAAUUAACAGUUUUUUAAGCAGCCAGCGUGUGGCACAUGAUGUACUAAGAAUUUUAUAUACCUUAUAUUAUUUCUUCCGCAGAAAAAUUAAAUGAGGUAUUAUUAACUCUUUCACAAUUGCUUGAGGUGACUCUCGGGGAGGUUAAGUACCUUGCCCACACCACACAGUUAGCAUGAGUCAGAGGCUUGGCAGUUCCUUUUCUGCUACAGAUAACAGGACGGGGCUUUUGAUUGAGGCUGGAAAAAAUUUCAAAAGGUGGCAAAAAGGCGGGUGGAGGGGACCUGAAGAGAAGCCUUUCACCC
ensembl:lncRNA